AUUACAACAAUGUAAACGAACGGUUCCGGUUCGACAGAUUCGGUUCGUUCGUGUAAAUUGCAGUUUUGGACGCCUUAACGAUCACCAAAUUGGCUGAAAUUUUGCAGAGGUGAUCCAUACAUUAGGACCUAAAAACUGAACGGUUAAGAUGUGAAAAUGUGAUCGGAAAGUGGGUGAAAACAGUAAAUCCGUUCCAUAAGAAAAACUAAGGACAUCCUUACCUGAGAAAAAUCCUAUAUAUAUAUAUAUAUAUAUAUAUAUAUACAUGAAUAUGGAUAAGAUUUAUCCAAAACCUAAACUCUUGGCUAACAUUAAUGUCUUAUUUAAAUGUAUAGUCAAUUGGAGGAAGUACAAUUUACUCUUAGGUGCGUUAACAUUUUGCUUUGGAAAUAUGCAACUAAUCAUUACAACCCUUACCCACAAUAUUCAAACCAUACAGGAUGUAGAAACAUAGUCCACAAAGCUGUGAUAUACACAUAAUCAAAUAGGAUGUAGAUUGAUGGAGAUGCCGGCUUAAUGUAGGUUGAAAUGUGCUUAGAUAUGGUACGAGGUUAGCCAAGGAUUAAAGCCGAAAGUUGUCUUCCUUUGUCCAUCGAGGCAUGCUGCUUGCUUUUCUGAGAGAAGGCAGCAUUGAACCAUCAACAUCAUCCAUGGAGUACUUCAACAAGGAGAAAACUGACUGAAGUGUAGACAGAACUGGAGGGAGCAACUUUUUGGACAACCUCCACAACUGCCCAUCAUUAGGCUAACAACUUUUCAGCAUACACCUAUUUUUGGCAAGCAGAUCAAACAGUGAUUGUAACUAAGCUAGCUUGCAACUAAAACAACCUAUUUUUUGCAAGCUAAUACAGCAGCAACUGUAACUAUGUUAACUUUAAACUAUGAAAACCUAUUUUUUGAACACUACCACAACAUCUAUAUUAGUGGUAAUGUUAUUAGGGCACAAUCAACAUCUUCUGUUAUAAAUGAUUUGCCAUUAGAAUUUACUUCUCAACUACAUUCUCUAUCCUUCUAAACUUUCA